rnacentral:rRNA from 1 species
UACGAAGGGGGCUAGCGUUGUUCGGAUUUACUGGGCGUAAAGCGCACGUAGGCGGGUCGUUAAGUCAGGGGUGAAAUCCCGGAGCUCAACUCCGGAACUGCCUUUGAUACUGGCAAGCUAGAGUCCGGAAGAGGUAAGUGGAACUCCUAGUGUAGAGGUGGAAUUCGUAGAUAUUAGGAAGAACACCAGUGGCGAAGGCGGCUUACUGGUCCGGAACUGACGCUGAGGUGCGAAAGCGUGGGGAGCAAACAGG